GAUUGGUGCUAAUGAUUCUUAGCAGUUGUGUGUAUGUGCAAGGGGAAAAAAAAUCAGAGACGCUGUCUGCCUGCUCCCAUCUCGCGCGCUCUCUCUCUCUUCUGCUCUCUCCCUCCCUUUGCAAACAUUGGAUUUAAACCUGCUCAGAAUUCAGCACAGAGGAAGCAGCCUCGGUAGCAGCAGCAGUAGCAGCAGCACCAGCAGGAGCUAGCCGGGCCGCCGCGCACCACAGCCUCGAGAUGUACCAUCCCGCCUACUGGAUCGUCUUCUCGGCCACCACUGCCCUGCUCUUCAUCCCAGGUACCCAGCAAAGAAGGGUGUUUUCUCUCUCUGAGCAAUGAUGCCGCUGCUAGGGCAGAAGGGGAAGAGGGAGAGGCAAGGAGGAAAAGAGGGAGUGUAAGAGGCAUGUGAGUAAGAUAGGCUUGCCGCGUGUGCACACACACUCACUGGCUAGCUGGCUCUCAGGCAGACAGAUGCCCACAGCAAGCGAUUUGCUCCCUUCUCGGGAGAGCUGGGUUCGAGAUCCGCACCGUGCUGCAAGGCGCUGCUGGUUCUGUGAAAGGCACAACUGGCAUUGACCAGCUGUGGUCCCAAGGGUGACAGAAGAGGGGCUUAAACUCCGGGGCGCAAAAGCCUUCUUGAGCGCUGCUGUCGGGACCUGCAGCAGGAACUGGCAUCCCGCUCAGUACUGGUCUCUGUUUUUCUGAAUGUAGUAAUCUCUGCGUCUCUGUUUCCUAUGCUUUUUUCUUCCCCCCUUCCUGUUUUUUUUUCUCUCUUCCCAACGUUCUCUCCUCUCUUCUUUUCCAUCCUUCUGAACCCUUCCCUUGAUUCCCACUGCAGAUCCCUACCUCCUUGUUUGCCUUCUCAUUCUUUCACGAAUUUUUCUCUACUGCAUUUUUUUUUGUCUUAACACAAUCCUUCCACCACCUCUUGUCCUUUCUUUAUCCUUCCACCAAAUGGGCAGAUUGUGCCUUUGAAAUCCACUUUCUCCUUCCUAAUCAUCACAUCACAGCAGAGACAUAAAUUUUCCCUAGUAGAUUUGAUCUGGUCCAAGCCGGGCGAAUGUUGGGAAAUCUAAUCCCAGUGGAGGGUUGCUAGAGUCCCAAUGGUGGGCAGAGAUGUUAAUGCAGUGCUCUUUCUCACAGCACUUACUUGUUUGGGCAGACCAAGUCUGCAGUGACCCAGGUAAGAUGCUUCAAGGCAACCUUCGCAACCCUCCCCAGUCAGCCUGCUAGACUCCUUGCAGACUCCCGCACAUCUUAAUAGGGUUGGUAAUUGCUUCAGAGCCUUCUGCAAGCAGAGGACCAUGCCUGCAGGCAUCUUUCACACAAUGCUGAAGGGGCUUGGAAGGCUUGCCAACAUUUUAGGCAGCAUCAAAGGGUCUCUGGGUCUUCCACACUAAACCUCACCCUUUAGGGGGCAUUUCUUCCUCUCUCUCUCUCUCUCUCUCUCUCUCUCUCUCUCUCUCUCUCUCUCUCUCUCUCUCUUCCCUCUCUCUCCUCAUGUUGCAAAUGGAGAUAGCAUGUUUUCCGUUAAACAUUAGCUUAGACCUAAAUUCCCUUACAUAUGUACAGACAUGAAUGCCAAUAUUGUUAACCCUCACGUUCAUAGGUGAAGCACAUAAUUCUUCAUUUUAUAUUCAGGAUGCCUCGGUGAGGUUUUCUUCCCUUUCAUUUAAACCUAAUUCUCCAAAGUUCUUCUAAGCUAACAAAGAAAAUUAGAAAAAAAGAAAGGAACUUAUUGGGAUGAAAGAGAAAACUGAUGAUUUUUU
rnacentral:lncRNA from 1 species